UUUCAUUACUCAUAUCAAUAUGGAAUUACAAGGUGAUUCCAGUUAAGUUUUUAAGCUACGAACUAGUAAGGCUACCAAAUCCACCAAUACCAACCAAGGGACAGAAUAUUCGGAUUUGCUCAAAGAGCAAGAACAGCCUGAAUUAGAACUAAAAUAGGAGAGCACACUACCAAAGUAGUAUAUAUGAAAACUACAAAACUAGUAAUGAAAGGGUAAAUGGUUUUCUGCUGACAUGACAAGGUGCAGACAGACCAUCACAGUGUCAUAACCGCCUCCUUCUCCCAAAGAUCUCCACUGUUAAUUGAUGCAAUCAUUUGGGCGGUACACUUUCCAGCACAUUAAAGAGGGAAUUAGUCUAGCUCGUCCAACAUCGGAAGCGCAAACAGAAACUUAAAAUGAAAUUUACAGAUGGAGUCUGAACCUUAAUGGGUUCAUCAGGCACAGCCUGGAAAGAGCCAAAAGGAAGAAGAGUGUCCAAAGCAGUCAUCCAGUUGGUUGGGCAUCAGAAAGAUCGGUAUUGUGCAUCCAGGCGGAUUCACCCAGAUCCCCGCAUCUCUGGCAAGCCUGCCUCUGCCUUCCGCAUCCAUUUCC
rnacentral:lncRNA from 1 species